GAGGGUAUAGCUCAAGUGGUAGAGAGCAUGCUUAGCAUGCAGGAGGUCCUGGGUUCAAUCCCCAGCAUCUUCU
rnacentral:tRNA from 1 species